rnacentral:rRNA from 1 species
CUACGGAGGGUGCAAGCGUUAAUCGGAAUUACUGGGCGUAAAGCGCGCGUAGGCGGUUUAGUCAGUCAGAUGUGAAAGCCCCGGGCUCAACCUGGGAACUGCAUUUGAUACUGCUGAACUAGAGUAUGGUAGAGGGAAGUGGAAUUCCGGGUGUAGCGGUGAAAUGCGUAGAUAUCCGGAGGAACACCAGUGGCGAAGGCGACUUCCUGGACCAAUACUGACGCUGAGGUGCGAAAGCGUGGGUAGCAAACAGGAUUAGAAACCCCGGUAGUCC